GGUAGGUUCCUCCGCCUCCACCUUUCAAUAUUGUUGCCGCCGCGCUUUUCUCAUCCGGUCAUCCCUUUCCCGCCGAGAGCUCACCGGCCAGAUUCCUCGCCAAUCCCUUGUCCUCCCCGUCAGCUCUGCAAUCUCCCGUGUUCCCCACUGCUGCUAGUCCCAUGGGGUAGUAGUUUAGUUGGAUUUUUGUUGGGGAAUGGAGGGGAGAAACUUGGUUGACUUGGGAAACGACGGAUCGAGUUGGGGAACGGCAGAUCGAGUUGGGAAAAGGCUGAUUUGAGUUGAAGGAGCAAUCGAUUGAGAUGGACAACAAUCAACAGCAGUACCAUAGCUACUGCAUGUGGAGGCAGAAGGCACUAGUUGCUCUUGUUCUUAUGGUGGUUCUGUGGUGGAGGAAUUUAGAUGGUAGGAAGCGUAGAGGCAGUGGUGUGAAGUAUGGGCCAUUGGUUACUAGGGAUGUAUGGAGUGAACUAAUUAGGUUAAUUGACACCUCGGAUAGGAUAUGCAUUAGUCAAUUGAGGAUGUGUCGAGCUUUAUUUUACAAGUUGUGUAGUCGCCUUAGAGAAAAAGGGCUAUUAGGGGAUACCUUUCAUGUUUCUGUCGAGGAGCAAGUUGCAAUGUUUCUGAAGAUGGUUGGAUAGCAUCAUACCAAUUCAGCUGUAGGAUUUUCCAUGUGGCGGUCCGGUGAGACAGUGAGCAGAUAUUUCAAUGUUGUGCUACAUGCGAUGGGAGAGUUAGCCCGUGAACUAAUCCAUGUGAGAUCUACCGAAACACAUGUUAAGAUAAUCAGCAGCCCAAACAGAUUUUACCCCUACUUUGAGGGAUGCAUAUGAGCACUAGAUGGCACCCAUAUCAGAGCAUGUGUGCCUGCUAAAAUGGUGGAUAGAUUUAAAGGUUGCAAGUCAUACCCAACACAAAAUGUAUUAGCAGCUGUUGACUUUGAUCUUCGUUUCACCUACGUCCUGUUGGAGGUAUGCCCUAGAGGCAAUCAUAGAGAUGAUGAUAUUCCAUUUGUAUCCAUGAUUUGUAUAUUGCGUUCAUUGAAUAUCCAUUAAAGGCUACUUGAAUUG